GGGGUAGAGUAAUGCGUGACCAACCUGCCCCAUGCUCCAGAAUAGCUCUUGGAAACGGGUGGUAAUGCUGAAUGCUCCAACUUGACGCAUGUCUUGUUGGGAAAGUGUUUAGUGGCAUGGGAUGGGGUCGCGUCCUAUCAGCUUGUAGGCGGGGUAAUGGCCCACCUAGGCUUCGACGGGUAGCCGGCCUGAGAGGGCGGACGGCCACAUUGGGACUGAGAUACGGCCCAGACUCCUACGGGAGGCAGCAGNG
rnacentral:rRNA from 1 species